AUCAGCGAAGGGGGCGUGGCUAGCGGAGCCCGGCUGGAAGUGCCAGGCUUGUUCUAGAAAGCGCCGGCGAGAAAGAGAGAGAGAGAGAGAGAGAAAGGGCCAGCUGCGUGUUCUAGAGGAGCGGGAGAAGGCUCAGGAGCUUCCUCUUCUCCUUUGCCGGCUCCAACGCCUUCGGAGGUCCCUACUGUCGUGCCCAGCCCCAGAUAUUCCAUAUAUUCAAGAUGACUCCAUGGAUUAAGCAAUUGCUGUUCACUUGCCUACUCUGCAUUGGGCAAACACAAGCAGAAUUUUUCACUUCUAUAGGCCAGAUGACAGACCUAAUCUAUGCAGAAAAGGACUUGGUACAGUCGUUAAAAGCUUAUAUUCAGGAAGAAGAAUCUAAACUGAUUAAAAUUAAAAGUUGGGCUGAGAAGAUGGAAUCCCUAACUACCAAAUCCACUUCAGAUCCAGAAGGCUAUCUUUCACAUCCUGUCAAUGCCUAUAAACUGGUGAAGCGCCUCAACACAGAAUGGUUGGAGCUGGAGAAUCUGGUUCUUGAGGAUGCAACCAAGGGUUUUAUUGCAAAUCUCACAGUCCAGCGUCAGUUCUUCCCAAAUGAAGAAGAUGAGACGGGAGCUGCCAAAGCAUUAAUGCGCUUGCAAGAUACCUACAAACUGGAUCCUGAAACAAUUUCAAAAGGAGAAUUUCCAGGAACAAAAUACAGAUCGCUCCUGACAGUGGACGACUGUUUUGGCAUGGGGAAGACAGCGUAUAACGAUGGAGAUUACUACCACACUGUCCUGUGGAUGGAGCAGGCGCUGAAGCAACAUGACAGGGGCGAAGAGGCAACCAUUACGAAAGCUACCAUCCUGGAUUACCUCAGCUAUGCCAUUUUCCAACUUGGUGACAUACACCGAGCGAUGGAGCUUACCAGGCGGUUGAUCUCCCUUGACCCCAGUCAUGAGAGGGCAGGGAGCAACAUGCAGUAUUUUGAGAAACUGCUGGAGAACGAACAAAAUGAAAAGGCCCUUGAUGAUGCACCAAAUGCAACAGAGCCAUCGACGUAUAAUGGGAUUUAUGAAAGGCCCCGGGACUACUUGCCAGAACGUGAGAUCUAUGAGGCCCUUUGCAGAGGUGAAGGUGUGAAAAUGACACCUCGAAGGCAGAAGAGGCUGUUUUGUAGGUACCACACUGGAAACCAAAAUCCUCACCUACUUAUUGCACCUUUUAAAGAAGAAGAUGAGUGGGAUAGUCCACACAUUGUUAGAUACUACAACGUCUUGUCUGAUGAAGAAAUAGAGAAGAUUAAGGAGCUGGCCAAACCAAAAUUGGCAAGGGCUACUGUGCGUGACCCCAAGACAGGUGUAUUAACUGUAGCCAACUACCGAGUGUCUAAAAGUUCCUGGCUUGAAGAAGAGGACGAUUUGGUUGUUGCCAAAGUGAAUCAGCGAAUGGAACACAUCACAGGAUUAACUGUGAAAACAGCUGAAUUAUUGCAGGUUGCAAAUUAUGGUAUGGGAGGACAAUAUGAGCCACACUUUGACUUCUCAAGGGUCUGGACUCCCACCUCUGUUAACUGCUCUUUGCUGUUUUCCUGACCUCAGGCUUUUCCUCAUCUCUGUUUCCAGUUACAGCUGUUUUUAUUCUGGAGUACUUACCUGUACUAUAGCAUCCCAAGUGCCCCACUGCUGCUUCCACCUCCCAUUUAUGUUGCCUCCAUUUGUCUCUGGAUGUCUCUCACCUCUCCUCUGCUCCCACUUAUUUUCCAUCUUCACUGCCGUAGGUCUCUUUCUCCUAUCUGUUACACUCCUCUUUUUCUUUUCCUACGUUGCACAGAAAUCUUUAUACUAGAUCUUUAGUUCACAUUUUCCAUCUUCUUUUUCCACUUUUUGUAUAACACUUCACCCUAAAGUCAUGACUGCUAUUGAGUUUGAUAGUACACAAACCUAUCCCACCUAUUCACUAUUGUGACCAGAUCCAAGAUUGAGAUGGACUUUGAGGAGCAGACUGGGAAACAUCGCACCUGGCCCACUGUUUGCCUUUAAAUCUAGAGUGCAUAGCUGCUGUUACAGGCACACUCUGUGCCCAUUUCUGUUGGAUUAGGAUUCUCGUCCAGCAAUAUUUGGAGGGCCACAUGUUAUCCAUAUCCAUCAUAUAUACUGAUUAGAUGGCUAGAGAACAAGAACUCACUCUUUACAUGGUGCCUACUUUGAGUAAAAGCGGUUGGAUCACAGGAUGAAACAUUAAAGUUUCGACUUUACCAUAUUGAGAUAAUAUGUCAAAAUAUGUACCCCAGAACCUUGUGGCUGCAAUCCCGUGUUCAUCACUCAGGAAUUAGGUCUCAUGGCAUGACGCAGUGGGAUGUGCUUCUCAAGGGAUGUUCACAGGAUCACGUUGCAGAAGCUCUUUUUCCAAAGUGACAAGCAUGCAAACAGUUUGGAAAUCGGGUUAAAGUUGUUAUUUGUUUCAGCGGCCCUUUGACAGCACACUCAAAACGGAAGGAAAUAGGCUAGCGACGUUUCUUAACUAUAUGAGUGAUGUAGAAGCUGGAGGUGCCACAGUUUUCCCAGAUUUUGGAGCUGCAAUUUGGCCCAAAAAGGGGACUGCAGUAUUUUGGUA